GACGAACGCUGGCGGCGUGCUUAACACAUGCAAGUCGAACGGUGAACGAGGGAGCUUGCUCCCUCCGGAUCAGUAGCGAACGGGUGAGUAACACGUGAGCAAUCUGCCCCGAACUCUGGGAUAAGCGUUGGAAACGACGUCUAAUACCGGAUACGACGCGGGAGGGCAUCCUCUCCGCGUGGAAAGAACUUCGGUUCGGGAUGAGCUCGCGGCCUAUCAGCUUGUUGGUGAGGUAACGGCUCACCAAGGCGACGACGGGUAGCCGGCCUGAGAGGGUGACCGGCCACACUGGGACUGAGACACGGCCCAGACUCCUACGGGAGGCAGCAGUGGGGAAUAUUGCACAAUGGGCGCAAGCCUGAUGCAGCAACGCCGCGUGAGGGACGACGGCCUUCGGGUUGUAAACCUCUUUUAGCAGGGAAGAAGCGAAAGUGACGGUACCUGCAGAAAAAGCACCGGCUAACUACGUG
rnacentral:rRNA from 1 species